rnacentral:rRNA from 1 species
UACAGAGGUCCCAAGCGUUGUUCGGAUUCACUGGGCGUAAAGGGUGCGUAGGUGGUUCUGCAAGUCUGAUGUGAAAUCUCCGGGCUUAACCCGGAAAUGGCAUUGGAAACUACCUUGCUCGAGGGUUGGAGGGGGGACUGGAAUACUUGGUGUAGCAGUGAAAUGCGUAGAUAUUGUGAGGAACACUAGUGGCGAAGGCGAGACUCUGGACAGUUCCUGACGCUGAGGCACGAAGGCCAGGGGAGCAAACGGG